AGGGAAUUUUCCGCAAUGGGCGAAAGCCUGACGGAGCAACGCCGCGUGAGGGAAGAAGGUCUUCGGAUCGUAAACCUUUGUCAUCGAGGACGAUAAUGACGGUACUCGAGGAGGAAGCCCCGGCUAACUACGUGCCAGCAGCCGCGGUAACACGUAGGGGGCGAGCGUUGUCCGGAAUUACUGGGCGUAAAGGGCGCGUAGGCGGCCUAAUAAGUCAGAUGUGAAACCCCCGGGCUUAACCCUGGGCUUGCAUUUGAAACUGUUGGGCUUGAGGACAGGAGAGGAAAGCGGAAUUCCCAGUGUAGCGGUGAAAUGCGUAGAUAUUGGGAGGAACACCAGUGGCGAAGGCGGCUUUCUGGACUGUAACUGACGCUGAGGCGCGAAAGCCAGGGUAGCGAAC
rnacentral:rRNA from 1 species